rnacentral:lncRNA from 1 species
UUAAGUAAUUUCGAGAAAGCGCGAGAAAGUCAGAGACAAAGAUCAAGAUUUAUAUUGUUAUAGAUAUUUAUUCGUGUUUGAUAACCGUCAUAGGCUACUCCAUGCUGUUUAGUGGAUUUGAGGCCUGAGCCAGCCAUCAUUACCACACAAUAUGCGAGUUUUUCUUGUGCAGGUGCAGCAACAAUCUCAGGAUCAUCGCUUAUUAGAUACACAGCAUCCCAUUCUAUUGGUAAAACUACCGAUGUCAAUCGAGUUACUGAUCUGACGGAUCUCUCCUUCUUGAAAUGUCCACGUGUACGCCCAUGUGAAUGUGGGUGUAUUCACGAGGACACCCUUUUUACCCUAUGCCGUCUGGUGGAAUUCAACUCUUCAGCGGAUGGAUGGAGCAACUGACGUAGAUGCCUGGCUGUAUUUCCCUGGCACAAAGGUAGGACAACAUUGAUCCCUAUUCUUCCUUUGUUGAUAACUUUUGGUGGCGUUGAUUAUAAAUUGUUUCGUAGUCACGGAGUAUGUUUAUUCCUGAGCUAGGCGGUUGACUGGAAAACUGUUUUCUCUUGUCGUUUUUGUUUUUUUCUCAGCAAGGUUUAAUCUCAUUUGUCGAACGACUGCAGAUCAGGCUUGUUUUUGUUUUUUGUGCCUCACAACUUUUUCUGUGGUUAGAAAACCUCCACAUUCGAAAAUAUUUGAACUUUAAACACUUGAAGCAAUGACAAUUUUUUUACCAAAAGGGAUCUACCGGCACCUCCUCGUUUCGCCAUCAAAUCAUACAAGUCUACUUUUUAACAAAUCGUUUCCGAUUACUUUGGUUAUUUAUGACUUUCCAAUGCCCACAUGAAGAUCAAAACUGCGGUUAAUGGAUAUAAAGCCACUUAAGCCCCUCCCUCGACUUCCGGUAGUUUAGACUGUCGCGCGCUGCACCGUAAAUCUGGUUAUUGUGGGGGGGAAAGGAUUGAAAGUUGCCUCGCUCUGCUGCUCUCUUGACCCGGAAACACUCGACUCCAACAAUAUAUAAUAAAUUUGUAUCCAAGAGUAGGAGGCAACCAGCAUUAUUAAAGCCGUUUAUUAUCCGCUCAGACAUCCGCAGUCACCAUACGUCAACUUCUCCUCUAUAGGAUAUCUCAUAAUAUACCGGCAUCAAGUAAAAACAUAUAUACUAGCUCCCCAGUUUAUGUAAAGAGUGUUUUAUUAUGUAACACAUCCGGAUAGAUGUGUGUGUGUGUGUGUGCGAAAAUAAAGAAAUGAAUAUAAGAGAAAAAAAAGCCCCUUUUUUCUUGGCUGGUGGUGUGCUUUAUGUAAUUCCGUCUGGCGCUCCAAGCUUUAUCGAUCGACCAAAGAACCGAACCCAGGAGCUCUUCGUUGCCUACGCCUGGAACAACACAGCGCUAAAAUGAUAUAAGAGCUCCGGGAGAUGGGAAAGAGAGAAGAGUCCUGUGACUGUGGCUCCUGAGUGUCUGUUUCUUCUUCCUCUCAACUGGGAUCCUUCAUUUUUUUACUUUUUUUUUCCCCCCUGACCGACUUUUUUCUCCACGUGCGUUGCUUCAUUAUUUUCUUUACCGGCAACUCUAUAACAAACAGCUUCCGUUUCACGCUCUUUUUUUUUUAUACCUAUAGCACAGCCGAGAGCCGACACCCGAUAUUUCGGGAUGAUUGGUGUCUAACGGCCCGUAGUAGACACACGUAAUGACGUCAGCGUCUCAUUGAACGCGUUUGAUCGAUUAGCGCCCAGGGAGAGAGCUACAGACUUAUUCAAGCAUUAUAUUCAAGCGUGAUUGUCGGCGAUGUUUCAAACGAGUUUGUGAUGUAAUCAAGGAUCCAGAAAGAAGAAUAGACCACAAAAAGGGGGGGGAAAGGAAGAAAUAAAAACUCGAGAGUCAGCCAAAAAAUAUUGGAAAAACAAAAGAAGAAGAAGAAGAAAAAGAAGAGAAUCUAUAACAGGAAAUAUCUAAAAGAAUGCGAUUUUCCCUGACGGUUGGAUGGCGCAUCGAUUGCUGAGCGGGACGCGUUGAUUGCGAUUCGCCUUGAUCAUUUUUUGUGUCGGUCGGUGGGAGGAGCGACGAUCUUUUUUAUUUUCCCCACUGAUUCGAUUUGAAAUCGCGUAUACGGUUUUGAUCGCGCUAAACUACUUGGCUCAUCCCCCUUUUCUUCGGUUGGAAAAAAUGUGUGGCCCGUUAUUGAAUCGAUCCUUUGAUUGUGCUGGCUGCGGGACCUUCCUCCCCUCUCCAUUCUGCGAUCAUUUCGAUGUCGCUCGCUCUUUCUAUAAAAUUCCCUUCUUCUUUUCUUUGUAUUAUUUUGUCGUCUGCCGCUCUUUCUAAGCGACUGCUGUUGUGGAGUGUAUCGCCCGAUCGAAAAAAAAUAAAAAUAAAAAAACUCCUCCUGGAAAUAAAACGAUCAAAAAAAGGAGCGAGACUGCCUAUAGAGAGGGAGAGAAAACGUAAUAAAAGGAAAGCUAUAGGGCAUGUGCGUGUCACGUCGCAAAAAGUCGGGCGGACACGGUCAUCCAUUUUCGAAAACUCUCUCGCACCCCCCCCCCCCCCCAC